ACAUUAAACGAUUCUUUAAUGAAUAUAACAUUCAAAAGAACAGCAUUUACUUGAAAUAGAAAUCUUCUGUAAAAAUGUCUUUACUGUCACAUUCGAUCAAUUUAAUGCAUCCUUGCUGAAUAAAAAGUUAAUUUGUUACUUAAAUCUAAUCUUACUGACGGUAUACAGGUGUACAACUUUUUAUAAUAAUUAUAUUUUCAUGACAAUUUCCUCAAAUUCUCAGAAGCCAACUAUAAAGAGGAAAAAAAUAUGCCCAAGCUUAUCACAAUGACUGGUACAUUUGUAAAGUACAAUUCAUUUUUUCCUAAUGCUUUUGGGUUGAA